rnacentral:lncRNA from 1 species
GCUUUACCAAUGAGCUAUGCACCCAUAGCGGGUGUCUCUUAUGCAAACUGCAGUUGGAAUUCUGUAGACAAUGAAGCGGAGUCCUCUCCACUUAGGCUGUAGAAAAUGCAGUUCAUUGUCUGUUUGGCAGGAGGCUCCAGAGGAACAGAGAAGCAUCUGUGAUAGUUCUACCUGUGGAAUGCGGACCUAUAUUAAUCAGGAAGAGCAGGAGGAGAAAGAGGGAGAGCAGCCACAGUGGUGCCAGACCUUCAGGAGGCAGCCAUGCGGGCUCAAGCUGGGGGAGGCACAUUCGCAGAGCCAGGGAGCCACAGCAACAGUGACAGCAGGGAAGGUUGUGGGGAGAGAAAGAAGCUAAAGAGAAGAG